rnacentral:rRNA from 1 species
GACGAACGCUGGCGGCGUGCUUAACACAUGCAAGUCGAACGAAGUUGCGAACGGGUGAGUAAUACGUGAGUAACCUGCCCUCCUUUUUGGGAUAAGCCUUGGAAACGGGGUCUAAUACCUAAUAAAGGGGGAUGGGCUCGCGGCCUAUCAGCUUGUUGGUGGGGUGGUGGCCUACCAAGGCGGUUACGGGUAGCCGGCCUGAGAGGAUGAACGGGCAGAUUCGGGAUGAUAUACGUGCCAGACUUCUACGGGAGGAAGCAGUGGGGGAUAUUGCACAAGGGGCGAAAGCCGGAUGCAGGGACGACGCGUGGGGGAUGAAGGCAUUCGGGUUGUAAAAAUCGUUAGCUAUCGAACGGGUAGGUAGAGAAGAAGCGCCGGCUAACAACGUGCCAGCAGCCGCGGUAAUAC